rnacentral:rRNA from 1 species
CCCUAUGGGGUGCAGCAGGCGAGAAAACUUUGCAAUGUGCGAAAGCACGACAAGGUUAAUCCGAGUGGUUUCUGCUAAAGGAACCUUUUGACAGUCCUAGAAACACUGUUGAAUAAGGGGUGGGCAAGUUCUGGUGUCAGCCGCCGCGGUAAAACCAGCACCUCAAGUUGUCAGGAUGAUUAUUGGGCCUAAAGCAUCCGUAGCCGGCUCUGUUAGUUUUCGGUUAAAUCUGUACGCUUAACGUACAGGCUGCCGGGAAUACUGCAGAGCUAGGGAGUGGGAGAGGUAGACGGUACUCGGUAGGAAGGGGUAAAAUCCUUUGAUCUAUUGAUGACCACCUGUGGCGAAGGCGGUCUACCAGAACACGUCCGACGGUGAGGGAUGAAAGCUGGGGGAGCAAACCGGAUUAGAUACCCGGGUAGUCCCAGCUGUAAACUAUGCAAACUCAGUGAUGCAUUGGCUUGUGGCCAAUGCAGUGCUGCAGGGAAGCCGUUAAGUUUGCCGCCUGGGAAGUACGUACGCAAGUAUGAAACUUAAAGGAAUUGGCGGGGGAGCACCACAAGGGGUGAAGCCUGCGGUUCAAUUGGAGUCAACGCCAGAAAUCUUACCCGGAGAGACAGCAGAAUGAAGGUCAAGCUGAAGACUUUACCAGACAAGCUGAGAGGUGGUGCAUGGCC